GCAUGUGUUGCAGAACUUUAAUAGGCUAUUUUCUUUAAUAGGAGAGCAUCCCUCAGUUACAAAAAUAACUUCUGCAGGGGCUGCUCUUUUUAUAGAUGACGCUAGGGUUUGUAAUUAAUACGCGUGUCCAUUUUUCGUCAUAGUGAGUCGUUGCUAGGUUUUUCCAUAAAGAUGUGUCUUUAACUUCUGGACAUCUGUUACUUCUUCCAUUUCGCAGUAUUUGCUUGUAAAGAAAACCAAUAAAGAGGCUGCCAAGCAAACAUCUUCCGUUGCCUUCUCUACUUCAUGUCUUCAACACUAUUUAAAUAGUCAUAAUUGCAAAAAAAAGCUAUCCUCUUCCUACCAUAGCAUCCGGGAAAAACUGAAUGACCAUCAUCGUCACGACGGCAUUCUGACGGGAACUAUGGUUGAGUCCUACUGGUAAUCAUCGGCCAUGGUGCUAUCCUUCCAGUACAAGGUUAUUUGAGAAUUCAUGGACUCCUAGAAUCGAUCUAAGUUCUGGUUUAGUGAAAGCAAUAAUAUAGUUGGUAGGUGCAACAUUCAGGCUGCACUGAAUUUGAUCUUCAACCUGGAAUCGUGCUAAACUUCAGUGGUAUUCAAUGAAGGCUGUUUAGAGAAAAACUUCGUCAUUUUGAAGCGUAAUCAGAUGAAGUGGACGAUUCCGGAACUUACUUCAAAACCUCCACACUUUACAGAGGAAAAGGCGGUUGAAUGGACUUUUGGUGGAAUUAAGAUCUUGAGAGAAAACCUUCCAGUCCAUUGCAGAAAAUUUUGUCACCACGGCCCAAAAAAGUAUUAUGAACAAAGUAGUUAUUAUUUAUUUAU